CAGGGACACUGAUAAGGUCUGCUCUCAGUUUUCACACCUUGAGCCUGAACAGGCUCAGCUCUCUCAGCCUUUUUUGGUGAGAGAUAUACUCUAGAACUUUGACCAACAUAGAAGCUCUCUGCUGGACCUGCUCAAGGAUCUCCACAUCUCUCUUGGCACCAGUCAAGCAUUUCUUGCCUGUCCAAGGACAUCAAGUGCAAACAGCCCCUUUACCACAACUUGUUUUGGACUCAAGGUCAUUCUAUCUCCAGCUGGAAUUUUCUUCUCUGGAUAAAGAAGCAGUUUGUCCAGAUUUUUUUCAUGUUUUCUAGUCUACUGAACUUCUUGGCUUUAAUCAAGUAAGAUACCCUCUUUUUGAGAUGCAGUGUCCAAAAUUGGACCCAGUAGUUUCAGGAACUUUUUGUCUGUGUAAAGCAGAAAACAUGUAUUGUGUCUCCUUGCCAUCUUACAGCCCCAUCAUGUAGGCAGGUGGGCUGUCACUUAAUGCUGUGUCUAGGUACUGCUAGUACCUAGAAAUGUCUAUUUCUAUUUAAAUAUAUAUUUUCACCCACCUUAGAUUCACCCCAAUUGAGUUACAUACUAUUUUUUUUCAGUCCAUAUCUCUACUGUCAACAAUAUGUGGAAUGUUAAUCCAGACUUUCAACCUCCUUGCAGCAGCACUGAUAAGCAUGAUCUCUGCUCCACUAUUCAGAAACCUCUAGAGUUCUGUCAUCGUGUUACAAUUAAUUCCAAAUUCAGAAAGAGAUUAAUAUGGUGCAAGAGGAAAGAACUUGAUUCCAUGUCUGACUAACAUGUGACAUGAGAGGGACUAUUUCAUACAUCUAUUUGAGGUAUUCCAGUUUCAUUCCUCUGCUGUGACAAGGGAGCACAGAAAAGGUAUCAUGGGGUGGUGGAUUGUCUUGUUUUAUACCACCAGCAAAGUAAAAAAGAAAUUAUAAAUAUUUUUGCCUUCUCAUCUUCAAUAGUGACACCUUAAGGAAAAGAGGAGCAACUCCUCCAAAAGCUCUGUACACCUUUACUCCUGUAUUAUUAUAUAUAUUAUAAAUAAUAUAUUAUAUAUACAUUGUGCAUUAUAUAUUUACAUUAUACAUUAUAAAUAAUAUAUUAUAUACAGUAUUAUUAAGAUAUGAUAUGAUAUGAUAUGAUAUGAUAUGAUAUGAUAUGAUAUGAUAUGAUAUUACUGUGUUGGUAGGCUCACAUAUGCACACUUUCAGAGCUCACUCACACUGCAUGAAACACUCUGUUAAUCCCUGAAUAAUUUACAUAGACACAUUUGAUUUUCUCUCUAAUUUUUCAGUGCUGAUGCUAUCCCUUCCAGAAAUCUCAGAGAUGUUGGCAAUGCAUACUGGGAGUUGAGGUGAUGCAGAAGUAUUUAAAUAAAGGAACUGGCCCAAGGAAGUCA
rnacentral:lncRNA from 1 species